rnacentral:rRNA from 1 species
CUAGUAAUGGCAGGCCAGCAUACUGCCGUGAAUACGUUCCCGGGCCCUUGUACACACCGCCCGUCACACCAUGAGAGUUGGGAAUACCCGAAGCCUGUGAGCUAACACUAAGAGGCAGCAGUCGAAGGUAGAAUCAAUGAUUGGGGUGAAGUCGUAACAAGGUACC